rnacentral:rRNA from 1 species
ACUCUAGCGAGACUGCCGGUAAUAAACCGGAGGAAGGUGGGGAUGGACGUCAAAUCAUCAUGCCCUUAUGACCUGGGCUACACACGUGCUACAAUGGUUGGUACAACGAGUUGCGAGUCGGUGACGGCGAGCUAAUCUCUUAAAGCCAAAUCUCAGUUCGGAUUGUAGGCUGCAACUCGCCUACAUGAAGUCGGAAUCGCUAGUAAUCGCGGAUCAGCACGCCGCGGUGAAUACGUUCCCGGGCCUU